GGGGCUGAAAAGGUUUCUACAUAUUACUAUUUGGCACUAAGUUUUAUAAAUAUAUUUUUAUAUAAAGUAAAAAUAAAGUAAUAUAAUUUUUGAAUAAUUAAUUAAAUGCAAAACAUGAUAUUGUAGUUUUUUCAAAAAAAUUAUUAGUAGCUUAGUUUUUUUUGAAAUUAAAUUAUAUUUUUCACAAAUACAAUUUGACAUAUAUAGUUGAAUGCUCUUAAAGUACUUGAUAUUCUAUAUUGUUAUUCAAAAUAGCAAAAUGAAAAUAUAGUAUAAGAUAGUUAUUAUUAAGUAAAGUUUUAAAAUAGUGUAUCAAAUUUUUUAGUAUAAAUUUUAUAGUUUUAAUCAAUUAAUAAAUACUUUAUUUAUAAUAACCUUUUGUAUUAUAUUAAUAUGGACGUGAGUUCGAUUCUCACCAGCUCCA
rnacentral:tmRNA from 1 species